AUCCAGUCAAGAUCUUCUCCCUCUUUCUAUAUUGAUAACAACUUCAUAAAGUAAGUGCUGUGAUGGUUCUUGUUGUACAUUUGGGUAAACUGAGUCAUAGUACGAUAAGUAACUUGCUUGAGAAUGGUGGAAUAUAAUUGCUUCCUCCAAGAAGCUUUUAAAUAUUUUUAGUACAGUCUAUUUGUGUCUUACCCAGGGAUGUCCCAACCCAGUAUUCUGGAAUUACUUAAGGAGUCCUACAGUUUAUAGAAUGGCUACAGUUAUGAUGAUGAGUGACUAGAUUUGAGAACUUCUGAUCUCAAAAACAAGAUCAAAGUGAAGCACCAGAGCACCAGAGGGUUUCCACUGGGGGAAAAGCAACAGCAAAAGACAAGAAAGGAUUUAAAUUCCAGCAUUAAUAAAUCACCAGAGAUUAUGGCCUGCAGAACAAGAGUCUAUCUGUGGCUGGGGACCCACACUUUCCUACAGCUCUCCUGACAAGCCUUCAAGCUGGCCUUAAUAGGGGGGAAUUAAAGCCAGCACUGUACUUCACAGACAGGAAACCGCAGUGCAGCUGACUGAUAAAGGUUGACUGCAAUGAUUUCCCCUGGACCAACCAACAGGAGACACUGAGAUCCAUCAGGAUGGAGUCUGCACCUUAUCAAGGGCUUCUGUGUAUUAGUUGCUGUUAAAGCUUCCUGACUUGAGAGUGAAUUUCGUGCCAUAGUUUCUUCUUGGUAACUGUAUCUGAAAUUAUUUAAAAUCUAAAAUUGUAGCCAAUGUAUUUGAGGCUGCUGCACUUGUGAUUGAGCACUGUUCAGCUUAUGUUAUUAAUUUUAUUAUUUUAUCAGCCUACAUGCAACUUGCCAAUAAUGAUGAAGU
ensembl:lincRNA